rnacentral:rRNA from 1 species
UACGUAGGUGGCAAGCGUUGUCCGGAAUUAUUGGGCGUAAAGCGCGCGUAGGUGGUUUGAUAAGUUGGAUGUGAAAGCCCCGGGCUCAACCUGGGAAUUGCAUCCAAAACUGUCUGACUAGAGUACGGUAGAGGGUAGUGGAAUUUCCUGUGUAGCGGUGAAAUGCGUAGAUAUAGGAAGGAACACCAGUGGCGAAGGCGACUACCUGGACUGAUACUGACACUGAGGUGCGAAAGCGUGGGGAGCAAACAGG